GGAAAAGAAACUAACAAGGAUUCCCCUAGUAACGGCGAGUGAAGCGGGAAGAGCUCAAAUUUGAAAUCUGGCAGUCUUCGAUUGUCCGAGUUGUAAUCUAUAGAGGCGUUUUCCGUGCCGGACCGUGUCCAAGUCUCCUGGAAAGGAGUAUCAAAGAGGGUGAUAAUCCCGUACUUAACACGACCACCGGUGCUCUGUGAUACGUCUUCUACGAGUCGAGUUGUUUGGGAAUGCAGCUCAAAAUGGGUGGUGAAUUCCAUCUAAAGCUAAAUAUUGGCGAGAGACCGAUAGCGAACAAGUACCGUGAGGGAAAGAUGAAAAGCACUUUGGAAAGAGAGUUAAACAGUACGUGAAAUUGUUGAAAGGGAAACGAUUGAAGUCAGUCGUGUUCUUUGGAUUCAGCCAGUUCUGCUGGUCUACUUCCUUUGAACGGGUCAACAUCAGUUUUGUCCGGUGGAUAAAGGCAGUAGGAAUGUAGCUUCUCCGGAAGUGUUAUAGCCUAUUGUCACAUACACUGGGUGAGACUGAGGACUGCAGCUCGCCUUUA
rnacentral:rRNA from 1 species